rnacentral:lncRNA from 1 species
UAAAUCUUGGAUAAGUGCCACAGUUGGUGAAGUUUCUGAUUAGCUGCGGAUCAUGGUGCCUACGGACAGCACAUGAUUUUGUAAUGAUAGACCAUGUUAGCAAGAAGUUUGGAGGCCCCUGCAACAGAGAUGCAUUCCUUAUUUAGAAGCUCAUAGAUUCUGCAUUAUUGAGGCAACAACCCACUCCCAGAAGCUGCAAUCUGCUGCACCCCCAGCCAUGGUUCCCUGAAGGUAAGGGUGUAUCUCUAUUUUCACUGUCUGGGAGGCAAUAGAAGCACCUGCUAUGGUCCAGGAAUUAGUUGCAAGAAUGAUUCCUUGGAUUAAUUUGAAGGCCAUGGUGGUAUUCCCAUGAAACAUUUUGAUUUUUGCUCCUCUGGGACACCCCAGCUGGGUGCAGCCAGGCUCAGCCCAUCACUAGGACUUCCUGAACCAAGGGGAUCUGAUAGACCUCUGAAUUAAAAAAAAAAAAAAAACAAAACAAAACAAAAAAACAAAAAAACAAAAAAAAAACCCAUGCUGGUUCAUCGGCAUCCACUGCUCCAAUAUGCUGGCCAGUGCCAUUAUCUAUUAAGUCUUAUUUAGUGUUUUGAUACUAUUUUCUGCAUACAUAGCCUGUCAACUUCUCCUGAACAAAGUAUUUGAGAUAGUUACUAUUCCAAAUUUGGGUUCUGUGUGUCAACAGUCCUAUACAAAUAUGUUAACUGUAAAAACAAAACAAAACAAAAACCAAACUAAACCACCACAACAAAAAACCUAAAAUAUUCUUAAUGAAUUAAUUGUACUGAGAUAAUAGGCUUUUUUUCCAUGAAAACACAGAGGAGUUUAAACAUCAAAAGGAUUCAACAUCUAUUGAGGACCUGCAAAUUACUGGCCACUAUAAUGGGUGCUGGGAAUAGAGGCAUGAAUUAGCAAUGACUCUUGAUAUGCAGGAGAAAAGUGAAGGACAAAGACUUCCAAACAGAAAUUGAGUUUGUGUUGGUUGGAGAUAGGUGGCAGAGCUAGGUCACGUAAAGAUUCUGGCAUACAUGUAAGAGGUGUUUUCUUUUCAAAAGGUAGUUAGCUAGUUACAUUUGGUUUCAAUGCAAAGUAAAAUAUUGCUAUGUGAGGGCGUUACACUCCUCUUUAUCAAGCUCCUAGGGGUGCCUGCAGUGGAUGGCAGCAAGCCUAGUGCUCCAUUGUUUAUAACAAAAAAUGUUUUAAAAUGAAUAAAAAUCCCCUAAGUUCUGU